AUCCGUGGCUACAGAACGACGCUGGCGGCAUGCCUAACACAUGCAAGUCGAACGAGAUCUUCGGGUCUAGUGGCGCACGGGUGCGUAACGCGUGGGAACCUGCCUUUAGGUUCGGAAUAACUCAGAGAAAUUUGAGCUAAUACCGGAUAAUGUCUUCGGACCAAAGAUUUAUCGCCUUUAGAUGGGCCCGCGUUGGAUUAGCUAGUUGGUGGGUAAAGGCCUACCAAGGCGACGAUCCAUAGCUGGUCUGAGAGGAUGAUCAGCCACACUGGGACUGAGACACGGCCCAGACUCCUACGGGAGGCAGCAGUGGGGAAUAUUGGACAAUGGGCGAAAGCCUGAUCCAGCAAUGCCGCGUGAGUGAUGAAGGCCUUAGGGUUGUAAAGCUCUUUUACCAGGGAUGAUAAUGACAGUACCUGGAGAAUAAGCUCCGGCUAACUCCGUG
rnacentral:rRNA from 1 species